rnacentral:rRNA from 1 species
ACAGCAGUCGCCGCGGGAAUACGUAGGUGGCAAGCGUUGUCCGGAAUUAUUGGGCGUAAAGCGCGCGCAGGUGGUUUAAUAAGUCUGAUGUGAAAGCCCACGGCUCAACCGUGGAGGGUCAUUGGAAACUGUUAAACUUGAGUGCAGGAGAGAAAAGUGGAAUUCCUAGUGUAGCGGUGAAAUGCGUAGAGAUUAGGAGGAACACCAGUGGCGAAGGCGGCUUUUUGGCCUGUAACUGACACUGAGGCGCGAAAGCGUGGGGAGCAAACAGGAUUAGAUACCCCAGUAGUCCCUGUCUCUUAUAC